GAGAGAUGACUGGAGAUGACUGACUCUGCUCGAUCGUUUAGACUCGACAAGCUUUAUAGACCUGAGCUUGCAGACAUUCAUAUGUAUCUUGCGAGGAGACCCGUAAAAAUAACGAAGGCAGACCGUCGAAGGCCGUGAGACUGCCGUCGGACAGAAAUUACGCUUCGCAAAACCGUUAUCGUAACUCGCGAGAAAAAUGACCGUUGAUAAGAACACACGUGUUCCAAAGACGAAACGAUCCUUCCCACCCGGACCUGUGCAAUCAUCAACACACUUUUCUACAAGAUACAGAUGCCUGGCUUCAAGAUUUAAGAUCUGUGGGAGUUGUUGCCCGAAAUCAAUUCAAGAAUCAAAGUUAAAGAUUCUUGAAAGAUCUCAGACAUUUGUGCGAAAAAUUGUAAUUUGAAAUCCGAAAAUUUGAAAGACUUAGAGAGUAGACGUAAAGACAAGACUUUUAGUCCUUCUCAAACAAUAGCGUUAAUAAAUAAAAAAAAUAAAAAUUCAAUAUUGAAGAA